rnacentral:rRNA from 1 species
GAUGAACGCUGGCGGCGUGCCUAAUACAUGCAAGUCGAGCGAACGGACGAGAAGCUUGCUUCUCUGAUGUUAGCGGCGGACGGGUGAGUAACACGUGGAUAACCUACCUAUAAGACUGGGAUAACUUCGGGAAACCGGAGCUAAUACCGGAUAAUAUUUUGAACCGCAUGGUUCAAAAGUGAAAGACGGUCUUGCUGUCACUUAUAGAUGGAUCCGCGCUGCAUUAGCUAGUUGGUAAGGUAACGGCUUACCAAGGCAACGAUGCAUAGCCGACCUCAGAGGGUGAUCGGCCACACUGGAACUGAGACACGGUCCAGACUCCUACGGGAGGCAGCAGUAGGGAAUCUUCCGCAAUGGGCGAAAGCCUGACGGAGCAACGCCGCGUGAGUGAUGAAGGUCUUCGGAUCGUAAAACUCUGUUAUUAGUGAAGAACAUAUGUGUAAGUAACUGUGCACAUCUUGACGGUACCUAAUCAGAAAGCCACGGCUAACUACGUG